AUUGAACGCUGGCGGCAGGCCUAACACAUGCAAGUCGAGCGGAUGAAGAGAGCUUGCUCUCUGAUUUAGCGGCGGACGGGUGAGUAAUGCCUAGGAAUCUGCCUGGUAGUGGGGGAUAACGUUCCGAAAGGAACGCUAAUACCGCAUACGUCCUACGGGAGAAAGCAGGGGACCUUCGGGCCUUGCGCUAUCAGAUGAGCCUAGGUUGGAUUAGCUAGUUGGUGAGGUAAUGGCUCACCGAGGCGACGAUCCGUAACUGGUCUGAGAGGAUGAUCAGUCACACUGGAACUGAGACACGGUCCAGACUCCUACGGGAGGCAGCAGUGGGGAAUAUUGGACAAUGGGCGAAAGCCUGAUCCAGCCAUGCCGCGUGUGUGAAGAAGGUCUUCGGAUUGUAAAGCACUUUAAGUUGGGAGGAAGGGCAGUAAGUUAAUACCUCGCUGUUUUGACGUUACCGACAGAAUAAGCACCGGCUAACUUCGUGCCAGCAGCCGCCGUAAAAC
rnacentral:rRNA from 1 species